GUUGUAUAGUUAAGUGACUAAGCGUACAAGGUGGAUGCCUUGGCAAUCAGAGGCGAAGAAGGACGUGCUAAUCUGCGAAAAGCUUGGAUGAGUCGAUAAGAGGCGUUUAAUCCAAGAUAUCCGAAUGGGGAAACCCAGUAGAUGAAGAGUCUACUAUCAACAAGUGAAUUCAUAGCUUGUUGAGGCAAACCGGGAGAACUGAAACAUCUAAGUACCCCGAGGAAAAGAAAUCAACCGAGAUUUCGUCAGUAGCGGCGAGCGAAAGCGAAAGAGCCAGUAAGUGAUAGCAGUAUAGUGAGGAGAAUGUGUUGGGAAGCACAAUCAAAGAGGGUGAUAAUCCCGUAUCUAAAAACCAUAUUGUGGUACUAAGCUAACGAGAAGUAGGGCGGGACACGUGAUAUCCUGUUUGAAGAAGGGGGGCCCAUCCUCCAAGGCUAAAUACUCCUGAUUGACCGAUAGUGAACCAGUACUGUGAAGGAAAGGCGAAAAGAACCCCGGUGAGGGGAGUGAAAUAGAACCUGAAACCUUGUACGUACAAGCAGUGGGAGCCCCAUCACUUAAUCCGAUUGGAAGGUGAUGAAAAGCAACCGCACUUAAACAAUGGUAAGAGGAGCGAAGCGAGUCAAACCACCCAAAAGAAGCAGUGGGAUUAAGUGAUGGGGUGACUGCGUACCUUUUGUAUAAUGGGUCAGCGACUUAUAUUUUGUAGCGAGGUUAACUGAAUAAGGGAGCCGAAGGGAAACCGAGUCUUAACUGGGCGAAGAGUUGCAAGGUAUAGACCCGAAACCCGGUGAUCUAGCCAUGGGCAGGUUGAAGGUUGGGUAACACUAACUGGAGGACCGAACCGACUAAUGUUGAAAAAUUAGCGGAUGACUUGUGGCUGGGGGUGAAAGGCCAAUCAAACCGGGAGAUAGCUGGUUCUCCCCGAAAUCUAUUUAGGUAGAGCCUUGAGGUGACACCUUUGGGGGUAGAGCACUGUUUCGGCUAGGGGUCCAUCCCGGAUUACCAACCCGAUGCAAACUACGAAUACCAAAGAGUGAUACUCAGGAGACACACGGCGGGUGCUAACGUCCGUCGUGGAGAGGGAAACAACCCAGACCGCCAGCUAAGGUCCCCAAGUCUAUAUUAAGUGGGAAACGAAGUGGGAAGGCUUAGACAGCUAGGAUGUUGGCUUAGAAGCAGCCAUCAUUUAAAGAAAGCGUAAUAGCUCACUAGUCGAGUCGGCCUGCGCGGAAGAUGUAACGGGGCUGAAAUAUAGCACCGAAGCUGCGGCAUCAGAAUUUAUUCUGUUGGGUAGGGGAGCGUUGUGUAAGCGGAAGAAGGUUCAUCGAGAGGUGGGCUGGACGUAUCACAAGUGCGAAUGCUGACAUAAGUAACGAUAAAACGGGUGAAAAACCCGUUCGCCGGAAGACCAAGGGUUCCUGUCCAACGUUAAUCGGGGCAGGGUGAGUCGGCUCCUAAGGCGAGGCUGAAAAGCGUAGUCGAUGGGAAACAGGUUAAUAUUCCUGUACUUGGUAAAGCUGCGAUGUGGGGACGGAGUAGGUUAGGUUAUCGCACUGUUGGAUAUGUGCGUUUAAGUUGGUAGGUGGGAAGUUUAGGCAAAUCCGGACUUCCUUAACACAGAGAGAUGAUGACGAGGCUCUACGGAGCUGAAGUAACUGAUACCACACUUCCAGGAAAAGCCACUAAGCGAAAGGCUUUACUAAACCGUACUGAAAACCGACACAGGUGGUCAGGUAGAGAAUACUCAGGCGCUUGAGAGAACUCGGGUGAAGGAACUAGGCAAAAUAGCACCGUAACUUCGGGAGAAGGUGCGCCGGCGUAGAUUGUAAGGGCUAGCCCCUGAAGGUUGAACCGGUCGAAGAUACCAGCUGGCUGCAACUGUUUAUUAAAAACACAGCACUCUGCAAACACGAAAGUGGACGUAUAGGGUGUGAUGCCUGCCCGGUGCUGGAAGGUUAAUUGAUGGUGUCAUCGAAAGAGAAGCACCUGAUCGAAGCCCCAGUAAACGGCGGCCGUAACUAUAACGGUCCUAAGGUAGCGAAAUUCCUUGUCGGGUAAGUUCCGACCUGCACGAAUGGCAUAAUGAUGGCCAGGCUGUCUCCACCCGAGACUCAGUGAAAUUGAAAUCGCCGUGAAGAUGCGGUGUACCCGCGGCUAGACGGAAAGACCCCGUGAACCUUUACUAUAGCUUGACACUGAACAUUGAAUUUUGAUGUGUAGGAUAGGUGGGAGCCUUUGAAGCAGUGACGCCAGUCAUUGUGGAGGCGACCUUGAAAUACCACCCUUUAACGUUUGAUGUUCUAACGAAGAUGACGAAACGUGGUCUCGGACAGUGUCUGGUGGGUAGUUUGACUGGGGCGGUCUCCUCCCAAAGCGUAACGGAGGAGCACGAAGGUUUGCUAAUGACGGUCGGACAUCGUCAGGUUAGUGCAAUGGUAUAAGCAAGCUUAACUGCGAGACAGACAAGUCGAGCAGGUACGAAAGUAGGUCAUAGUGAUCCGGUGGUUCUGAAUGGAAGGGCCAUCGCUCAACGGAUAAAAGGUACUCCGGGGAUAACAGGCUGAUACCGCCCAAGAGUUCAUAUCGACGGCGGUGUUUGGCACCUCGAUGUCGGCUCAUCACAUCCUGGGGCUGAAGUAGGUCCCAAGGGUAUGGCUGUUCGCCAUUUAAAGUGGUACGCGAGCUGGGUUUAGAACGUCGUGAGACAGUUCGGUCCCUAUCUGCCGUGGGCGUAGGAGAAUUGGUUGGGGCUGCUCCUAGUACGAGAGGACCGGAGUGGACGCACCACUGGUGUUCCGGUUGUGUCGCCAGACGCAUUGCCGGGUAGCUAAGUGCGGAAGAGAUAAGUGCUGAAAGCAUCUAAGCACGAAACUUGCCAAGAGAUGAGUUCUCCCAAUCUAAGAGAUAGUAAGGGUUGUUGUAGACUACGACGUAGAUAGGUCUGGUGUGUAAGUGUAGUGAUACAUUGAGCUAACAGAUACUAAUUGCCCGAGAGGCUUAACUAUACAACGCUCAAG
rnacentral:rRNA from 1 species